UAUAGGAAUGUCCGUUUAGCAAAACUAACAAUCCACCAUCAGUCAAAGAACGGACACCAGCAGUACAACGAGAACCAUUUAAAAACAAAUGAUAAGAGCCUGGAGAAGAACGAGAUGCGGUAAAACGAUAGCGAGUGUUAUCAUAAAUAAAUUCAAUAUCAUACACAUUUUUCAAAAAUUCACGGGACGGUACUUGACCGCGUUCAAGGUAGGAUUUGAAAGCACGGUACUGAGUAUCGGCAGUAGCAUGAGCACG